rnacentral:rRNA from 1 species
CCUACGGGCGGCAGCAGUGGGGAAUAUUGGACAAUGGGGGCAACCCUGAUCCAGCCAUGCCGCGUGUGUGAAGAAGGCCCUCGGGUUGUAAAGCACUUUCAGUGAGGAAGAACGCCUGGUGGUUAAUACCCAUCAGGAAAGACAUCACUCACAGAAGAAGCACCGGCUAACUCCGUGCCAGCAGCCGCGGUAAUACGGAGGGUGCGAGCGUUAAUCGGAAUUACUGGGCGUAAAGCGCGCGUAGGUGGCUUGAUAAGCCGGUUGUGAAAGCCCCGGGCUCAACCUGGGAACGGCAUCCGGAACUGUCAAGCUAGAGUGCAGGAGAGGAAGGUAGAAUUCCCGGUGUAGAGGUGAAAUGCGUAGAGAUCGGGAGGAAUACCAGUGGCGAAGGCGGCCUUCUGGACUGACACUGACACUGAGGUGCGAAAGCGUGGGUAGCAAACAGGAUUAGAUACCCGAGUAGUC